rnacentral:rRNA from 1 species
GAUCCUGGCUCAGGAUGAACGCUAGCGACAUGCUUAACACAUGUAAGUCGAGGGGCAGCACAGGUAGCAAUACCGGGUGGCGACCGGCGCACGGGUGAGUAACGCGUAUGCAACUUGCCUAUCAGAGGGGGAUAACCCGGCGAAAGUCGGACUAAUACCGCAUGAAGCAGGGGCCCCGCAUGGGGAUAUUUGCUAAAGAUUCAUCGCUGAUAGAUAGGCAUGCGUUCCA